AGUUCUGAGCAAUUAUGCAUCAAUUAUACAAAAUGUUAAGCUGCCAUACUUUUCAACCAGAUCUAGAAGAAUAUGAAGAGGAGAUUGAUUGAAGCUGGCAUGCUACUUUUUGAUAAUCAAGCUCUCCUUGAUCUCAUUUAGAAGAGUUUGAACUUCCUGAGUUCUUUGGUCAGUUAUGAUACAAUAUUGCGGGAAACUUGGCAAUUUUUUCAAACAGCAAACUUCUAACUGGAAAUGUGGUUGGCUUUCUCGCAUACCAUGUAUAUGCUUGUCUUAGAUACUACGCGAGUAUGUACACUUGCCUGCCCCACUGAAUGUCAAAUUACUCGAUUCAUCCUGGUUGCAAUGGUGUGGUUCAGCCUAGGUCGCAUUAUUUCAGGAGCAAUACUUGUUCCAGGCUAAUAGGCGAAGAGCUAAUGGGAGAGACAGGGCAUGCUGAAAAUGGAGAAAUCAAGGAUGGAGAAAGUCAGAAGUAACUGAAAGGAGAAUGCAACUUCAGGACUCUAUGAAAUAGGUAGUACUAACAUGGCGCCCUUUUAAAAGCAUGUGAUUUUUCACUUUAGCAUUUGGCACGAAAAUUGAUAACUGAAAAGUUUGAACAUUUCAGAGAAUGUAUGAAAUUAUCUUUUCUGGAACAUUGAAGUUCACUUCAGAUUUCAAUUUAAGAGAGAGGGUUGUUUAUUGUCCCCGUACAUUGWCGUUUUACAACUAACAUAAAAACACCAAACAUGGAUUAGGAAACAUAUAUAGGUUUCAAAUUUCUACAAAUGGUAUAUAUAUGAUUUACUUCUGUAGAGCCUGUUGRCGAUUUACAAUUAUAUGUAGUUUCACUCUGAUGGGACGAAGAAGAUGCUCAAAGUUUCAGACGGAGGUUCUUCGCAUCUUUUAGCCUAAACCAGCUUCCACAUCACAAAAUUUUUGCAAGCCAAACAAGUCAGUACGGUGUUGGUGGGCAUAAUAAUCAUUUACUGAUUUGAUACUAAUUAUGAAUUACAAUACAACGUCUGCUUAACUUUUUAUUUGAAGAAGCGAUAAUGCAUUUUCUAUAUUUUUUGUUCUUUCCAUGAACUAAGUCACAUCUGAAUUGUUGUUGGGAUGAGGCUGCAGGUUGCUGGAUAAUUCCCUUCUGAUGGAAUCUUACGGACUUGAAACGGAGUAAAUUCUUUUACAAUACCCUUGGAGAAUUUUCACAUCAGAUUCUUGGAGCCGGAUGCUUGCUUCGUUGGGAGUUUUUUGUGCAAGUCUGUGUUUCAUAAGCCGACUGUCCUUGGAUUCUGCUUUGAAAGAGGAGAUAACCAAGGCUAUUCAUAACAGAAAACCUGAGCCUUUUGGGAGCUCUAGGAAGGAACAACCUUCACCAAAUUUCUUGCAUGGUGUUCCAAGAAAGCUUUGAUUUUCUGGUUUCAUGUAGUAACGUCUAUCCACUAGAAAUUUGAUUGCCAAAGAACAAUCUUAUCUUCAAAGCUGAAGUAUCAGAUUUUGGAAGACUCUUGAGACUUACCUAAACUUGUGGCCGUCUAGUUGGUGCACUCUCAAAAUUCUUCUGUAAAUAUGAUUAUUUUUUGUAUCAUAUUACUUGAUUCGAAUUAGGCAAUAAAGGGAGAAGAAAUUUAGUUGCGGAUUGCCAUUUCUUUUGUACUUUUCAUAUGAAAAGUUGUGUUCAUAUUAAAAUAAAAAGUGGUGACAGAAUUAUGUUACAAUAUGAUUCGAAUUAGGCAAUUGAGAAGAAAUUUAGAGCUUGUCAAGCAACAUUCCUGCUUU